UUUUUGAGCAUGUCCUUGUUGGGGGCGGUGGGAAAACAGGAAGUGCCCCAUUAAACCGGAGCAGUUACACAACAUUUGUCGCUCUUUUUUUUUUUUUAACCGCUGAUUACUUGCAUGAAGCCACAUAAAUGAGGCCGUAGCAGUUUGUGUUUCCAACUAGAAGCGUGGACUGCACUCUUCCGUGCAUCAAAGUUGUCAAGCAAGAGAAAAAGGGACUAAAUGUAAAACUGACACGGAUUUUAAAACAUGCAUUUGCCCCAGGCAUAGCAACACAACUGCUAUUAUUCUACGACUCACAAAACACACAACGUCAAUGCACGUGACGUCUCCGUGUGUGUUUUCUAACUUAUAAAUCAUAAAAAAGGUGUGGCUGCCCGCCCGCCUUUGCACCUUUUGACAUUCUUGAAGCGUGACACAAGCAAACAAAGGUCAGCAGCGGUUCUGAGCGUCACCCCAAACGUGGCGGAACUUGUCUACGAGCCGCAAGUACAUGCCGCAACUCGCAUCCAACCAUCUUGAUAUUUUCCAUAGAAGACAGACUCGCUCAAGCGUCAACAAAACAACACUACCUCUGUCACGAAGAUGAGCGGCAAGGCGCUGUGGUUCUUCCUCAUGGACUCAAAGUGCACAGUGACAAAUGGCUUCAGCCUCUUUGAAAUACCCCCCCCCACUCCCCCCCUCUCUCACCGGGGCCCUUUCGACACUCUUAUUGUGAAAAGCGUUGCUUCCUGUGUCAGCACCCGCCAGAGCGUCAGUGCGCACACUCCCUCGGCUUCAACAGCCGGCCGGACCUUACAAGGAAAGCGCCGGGCGGCCCAAAUGGAAUCUUUGCGAUCCUUAUCGGACACCCUCGGAUGGUUUUGGUACACAUUGCCACGGCAACCGCGCCCUCAGACCAAGGAUGGAGUUGACUAAUGUGCGCUCUUUUGAACACCUGGGGCGCUGCCGCCAAGAACCAGUUGCUGCUGCUCCCGGAAGUGCGUCCUUGACCAAUCGGAGAUCUCCAUUUCAUUUAGUGUUUAAAUCCUGAAUUAAACCAUUAAAAUAAAGAUUACAAAACAAAUAAAUACAACAUCUGCUUUUCGCAAUUGUAAUGCAUUUGGAGCAAUAAGUUAAAUAGGCUUCCUGCUUGUUAUCGCUGUAAAAGCUGCCGGUUGGUGGACUUCCCGUUAUCAAAAUUGAAUUAAAUAUCGACAUCACAACGUUUUCAAAGAAGUUCAUUUUACUAAAUAAUUACAAACACAGCAACAACAUA